UCCAAUUUGUAGGUGUUCAGGAUGGCUUGAAAGUUAUCUAAGUAAGUUGGUGGGGCCGGGUGACUUGGGGACCCUACUCCUCCACCAUCUUUCUGGUGGUGGCCUCCCAUUGACUACAUUUUUUAAAGGAAAAACCGUGCUUUUUUCCAUACUCUCCUCACAGAGACCCACCAACUGUUUGCUGUUUCCUUACACUUCACAACUGUUUUGUGUGUAAGCCCUUUGGAAUGUGCUGGAGUUACUGCCUGCCAUGUGGCUAUUCCAACUGUUUCUGUUACUUUAUUUCAGAUCUCAUAUACAGUUGUUCCUUGAACAGCUAGGAGGUUGGGGGAUCAACUCCCCCCAGCUAGGUCAAAAAUCCAUCUAUGACUUUUGACUCUCCAAAAACUUAACUGCUAAUAGCUUACUGUUGACUGGAAGCCUUACUGAUAACACAACCAGUUGGCUAACACAUAUUUUGUAUGUAUACUGUACCCCUACAAGAAAGUAAGCUAGAGAAAAGAAAAUCAUAAGAGAAAAUACAUUUAUGAUAUUGUAUUGUAAAGCAUAAAUCUGCUUAUAAAUGGACCUGUGUGGUUCAAACCCAUGUUGCUCAAGGGUUUUGCAGAAAGAGCUCAUUGCAGCUAUGCAUGGCAGCAUCAUCCUGUCUUCUGGAGCCAGUUCCAGUUUCUAUUUCUCUAAGUAGUAUCUGAGUGAUCCCAGAGAAACUCCUGUAUCUAAGACUCAGCAACCUCAGAGAAAGCAAGGAGCUGGUGACUAUGUGGUCAGAGUCCCUUUUUGAGGAAAAGUGGAAGAACACCAUGUUAUACAGUGGGCCACGGAAUCUCUUGGAUUUAUAGCUACAAGUACCUGGGUCCCAGGCCUCCUGACUCUGGUUGGCCUCCUGUGCAAGAGUGGUGCAUUUGGAAAUGGCUCCUGGGGCAUUAGGCUGGUCGCAAAACUCAGGGGGAAGUAAGAAUGGGUAGUUAUGUGGCUUGUUUUGCUUUGCUUUUUGCCUUUGUUUUCUUCUGGCUGCCAGAGCUUUCCUCUCUAUGCCCUUGGGAAAAGGGUUUUCCCAUUAGGACUCCAUCUUGUUUGUGUGGCCCUGACAAAGUGGUUUGGGGUCUAGAAUUGCCUUUCUCAGGGAUCUUCUCCAAACCUCCAGCUACAGACCCCACGGAUUCACCUCAUGAGCCCCCUGUGAGGACGUUGGUGACAGAAGAUAUCAGCCUUGGUCAUCUAAGGGCAGGUCCACAGAAGUGAUAUAAAGAGAUUAGAGUAGAGGAUGGCUAAAGGCAAAGGAGAUGGAACAGCUUUCCACUGGAUGGAACAACAUUCCACUGGAUGCCUGAGUUUGGCUCAAGAUACCUUUUGUCAGUCCUUCUGAUGUACCCUCCUUGGUGUGGUACAAGUUGGAGCCAGAAGAAAUGGAGCAGAUAAAAGUAAUGCAGGAUCAAGGCCCUUUGCGACCAUGAACAAACACUAUGAUGUCUCCCAGCAAACCCUUGACCUCCAGAGGCUCUGCUUUGACCCAGAAGUUAGCCUGAAAGUUGAACAAAGCGAAGGGGCUGAAGGUUGUAGAGCUGUGGCCAGAAGGGAAUCCAUGUCAACUUUCCUGGGGACCUCUGACCCUGGGAGCCUGAGUUACCCAGCAGUGCCUGUCUGCGGGAAGUAGCAGCCAUGCGGAGGACCACAUGCUCUGCCUUCUCUUCUUUCUGUGUCCCUCACCUGUGCCUAGAGGUCUCCUUUCCUUCUUCUGAACUGCUUACCUGUUUGCCUGGUCUGGGGUCUCUUUCUUACCAUCUUCUGCUCUCUCAGCUUUCUCUAACAUGUUGCUAUGUUCUGGAUGUUUGUGUCCCCCAUCCCACCCUGGAAAAUUAUAAAAAUCCUGACACCCAAAGAUGACAGUAUCAGGAGGUGGGUUUUUGGGAAAUGCUUAGGUCAUGAGGAUGCAACACUCCUGAAUGGGAUGAGUGCCCUUAUAUAAAGGGCUCCAGAGAGAUCCCUAACCCUUUCUACCAUGUGAGGACAUAACAAGAAAGUGCCAGGUAUGAACCAGGAAGAGGGCCCUCAUCAGAAAGCGACCAUGCUGCUGCCUUGAUCUAGACUUUAAGCCUACGGAAUGGAUAGCAGUAAGUUUCUGUCAUUUACCAGACACCUAGUUGGUAGUAUUUUGUUAUAGUAGCCUGAAUAGACUAAGACUCAGGCCUUCCCAUGGGUGUGUUCUAGGAAGCAGGAAUCCCGCUCCUUUCCAGGAUCAGAGUGAACACCUUGAGCCAGGUGCUGGUGUCCUGGACCGAGAAGGGUCCUCCAGCCCAGGGUUUCAUGCUGAGACAGGUCUUCCUACUCCCUUCUGAGACAAGGCUUCCCUCCCUUGUUCUGAGAGGGAGCCUCCUUUUCUUGAACCAGAUGUAUCCCACCCCCAAUCUCAGGUGGCCUUAAUGGCUUUCCUGCCCCAUGCUGAGGGCUGAGGUCCUGUUCCUUUGGCUGAAUGCCAGGAGCUGGGCCCUCCUUGGGAGACACCAGGGUUCCCUGAGUCAGGGGGCCAGAAGUGGGUGACUGCCAGUGAGCAGAGAGCGUUCCUGGGGCAGGGAUGGAAGGCAGAGGGCAGAGGUGCUUGAGAAUGAAGGACAGGCCUCUCAGAGGAACUUCCCCCUCCCCUCCCUCCACACAUCUCAUCAACCUGACUGGUCCUUCAGGGGAACCCUGGUGAGCCUGACAUGGAUAUAAUCCCUCAGGCGAGGAACCAACUGAGAUAAUCACAGGUGCACAGGGGCCAUCAGGAGAGAGGGCAGUGGUCAUAAGAGGAGACCACAGACCCUCAGCCCUAUGCUGACCUGGGGCUUGACCCUUUACUCCUUCUGGGACAGGUCUCCUGCCCCCGUGGUUGCCUUGUUCUCCAUGCCCAGCUCGAAUUGAGCUCACACAGGUGACAAAGUUUCAACCAGCAUCCAAUGGGCCCCCAGCCCAACACAUGCAUGUUUUCCAUUCCUACCUUGGGUGACAGGGCAGAUGAAGGAAAAGGCUGCAGCCAUGAAGCCAUUUCCUCCUUCUCUCUUCCUCCCUGACCCCACCACCAUGGUAGAGCUUCUUUCCCUUCCCUUUGCUUUGCUUUCUCUUCAUUCUUUGUCUCUACUCCCCUGUGUCUCUCUUACGUCUCCCCUCCUACCUUUACCCCGUCUUCUGUCUUCACCCCCCUCCCUCUCUGCCUCCUGGGCCUUGUCUCACUCAUCUCCCUGCCCCAGCAUCCUGGGCCAUCCCAGGAUGGGCGGUGGGGGUCAUGGUCCUGCAGAAUGCUGGACCCCUAGUGAGGUAGCAGAGCCCUGGGCUCCCACCCCAUUCCCUCUUCUCUCUGGAGCCUUUGGUAGGGACUUGAAGGAAGGGAGGGAAGCAGAAACGUGAAGACAACCCUAGAGUCUGGGUUCCAAAUGUUGCUUCUGGUGGUAUUGGAGAAAGGAGUCAGGACUGUCUAGGUGGAUGCUACAUAGGGGAAAGGAAAUGGAGGAGAGAGAGGAAGAAUAUGAGGGGUGCAGAAGACAUGGGAGGGAAGAGGAAAAGGAGAAAAUGUGCUUUUCCUCUGGGUCAGUCCACAGGGGAGGUGUGCAGGGCCCUGGUGUCUUGGACAUGUGGUGUAGGUGGGACACACCGGGCUGUGUGCCCAUGCCUGUCUAACCUGCACAUCCUGGGUGUUAGGGACACAGGUUGUGGAGUGAUGGCUCUCACCCCAAAUCCUUACUUUCUGAACUUGGCCCAUUACUUAACCUCUCAUUUUCCUCAUUUGCAAAAGGGGCCUAAUAAUGUCCAUCUUUUGGGCUGCUGUAAAAGUUGAAUCAAACGACCUUGUGAAGUGACUGUCACAGGGUCUGUACAUAGUAACAAUCCCUGUCACUGGAAGCAGAUCUUCCUAUUGUUGCCCUCCCCAUCCUGACACCUUGAUUCCCAGAGAACAAUUGUCUUCUUCAGCAUGAGUAUCAUCAUAAGACCCUGAUAGGGAAUGCUGUGUGAUGGUGUCAAGCAUAUGUAAUUCGAAGGGGGUAUUGUUGUUUGUUGUUGAAGUGGAAAGAAAGCCUUAGGGUUCCGUUCAUAACUUCUUCCCAUACCCCCUCCCAACCCAGUUUCAUUGAUAUAUAAGUGACAUUCACCUUUUUGUAAGUUUAUCUGUACCUUCAUCCAGACCUCCACUGCUACCCCCACCAGCAAUUCCAGGUGAAUGCUGUGUUGUGGGUGGAACUCCCACAACCCUUUAAGGUUAUGGGGAAUGUGGUUCCUCAGUCCUCGGUGUUUUCUCAAUAUUGUGGAAAACCAACAGGUAGAUCCAAAGAGUCUAGCCUAGUGGUUAAGGGCAUGAGGGUAUAGAAUAGGAAUAUGGGUUCUUUCCCAGACCCAAAACAUACUAGCUGUGUGACUUUGGUCAAGACAUUGCUGUGACUCAGUGUCUUACUCUGAAAAUGGAGUUAGACAGUCCAGUCCUUAGGCCAUUUUAUGGAGUAAAUGAGACUAUAAAACCAUCCCUGGGGGAUCCCUGGGUGGCACAGCGGUUUGGCGCCUGCCUUUGGCCCAGGGUGCGAUCCUGGAGACCCGGGAUCGAAUCCCACGUCGGGCUCCCGGUGCAUGGAGCCU